rnacentral:miRNA from 1 species
AUUGGGAGCAUUUUGCAUG